ensembl:lncRNA
CCUUACUGAUGCUUCAUACAAAAAAUGUGGGGUCUGCUUUGGAAAGUACAAAAAGCACGAUAAUGAAUCAACAGACAAAAUAGAGAAUGGAUGUCUAGAAGAGUUUAUUUGUAGAUUUACUGAUAACAGUUAAUCAAAUAAGGUAAUGAUGCAAAAUUAUAAUGCUAUCAUUUUAGUACGGAACAUACAGGAUUUUUUUCCUUCACAAAAGCUAGUGAGAGAACAAGAAGUUCAAUAAAACCACUUUGUUCUCUGAAAUAAAGAAUACUUCUGAUGGUUAAAUCCACUUUGCCAGAGUUGAUGAGUGUGAGUAAAGUAAACCUAAGGGGAGAAAAAAAAAACAGCUACCCUCACCUGUAGGAACAGCAAACUUUGUAGAAAAAUUCUGAAGUGCCUUUAGCAAAGCCUCACUUUGCCUCUGCAAAACUCUGCUCUUGGGAGACUUCAGACAAGCAGCCUGGGCCAUAAGGCUUAUCUGGGUCAGACUUGAACCCUUAGAAUGACAUGGCUAUGAAAGUGUCCAGGUCAAACAGACAAGAAGAGGGGCUCCUGUACUAACCUUAAAAGGAGUAGAAGGUGCUACCAGAGCAGACUAUAGGGAAGCUCUUUGAAGAAAGCAAUGUAUCUCAGGGGAGGGCUCUGCCUUUAAUAUUGUAUAUAGAAUAAUAUGUUACAGUGCAUAAACACAAAUACAUACACACACAGAGCCGUCUAUCUGUGUCUUGGAGAUUCAGACUAGUAACUUGUCUAAUGUGUGCAAACUCCUGUAGGCAGAAGGACUGCUACUGUGUGCUCAGAUGGGUACACAGGACAAAUUAGGUUUACUCAACUUCAGAGAAACCAUGCCAAAAUAUUCUUCCCAAACAACUGAUUUCAACUUGUUCUUGUUUUCCUCCAAUACCGGCCUGACAAACUGUUUUAUACGUGCAUUUGACUUUUCAAAAAUGUGCAUGCAAUCAUGGCAAACUCAGCAAGUCUUUGUGCUCCAGGAGCUGCAGAACGGCCUUUGAAUGACAUGUGUACUGCAUCCUAACAUAAAAUGUCAUCUUCUUAAAGUCUAGGAGAAAGGACCUGCAGCAGCAUGAACCUGGUGUGACCCUGUGUUAUGUGCAUCAGCAAGAGCCAAAUGCCUAAAGCAGCCAGAAAACAAUGCCAGGCUCCCGAAAGGUCAGAGUGACAAAAAACAAAACUAAACAAACAAACAAAAAAACGAAAUAAAAAGUCCAAGCUUCAAUGAUUAUGUUACUCUCUGUCACCUGACUCUUCACUGAACAGGAAGCAUAUUCUCUACAAAAACAGACACAAGGCCAGGCGCGGUGGCUCACGCCUGAAAUUCCAGCACUUUGGGAGACCGAGAUGGGCAGAUCACGAGGUCAAGAGAUUGAAACCAUCCUAGCCAACAUGGUGAAACUCUGUCUCUACUAAAAAUACAAAAAUUAGCUGGGUGUGGUGGUGCGCGCCUGUAGUCCCAGCUACUUGGGAGGCUGAGGCAGGAGAAUCACUUGAACUUGAGAUCGCGCCACUGCACUCCAGCCUGGCAACAAAGCAAGACUCUGUCUCGGGAAAAAAAAAAAAAAAAA